rnacentral:rRNA from 1 species
UACAGAGGGCGCAAGCGUUGUUCGGAAUCACUGGGCGUAAAGCGCGCGCAGGCGGGACGACAAGUCUGGAGUGAAAUCCCGGGGCUCAACUCCGGGGCUGCUUUGGAAACUGUCGACCUGGGGACCGGUAGAGGCCGGUGGAAUUCCCGGUGUAGCGGUGGAAUGCGUAGAUAUCGGGAAGAACACCCGUGGCGAAGGCGGCCGGCUGGGCCGGAUCCGACGCUGAGGCGCGAAAGCGUGGGGAGCAAACAGG